rnacentral:rRNA from 1 species
CACGUAGGGGGCAAGCGUUGUCCGGAUUUAUUGGGCGUAAAGAGCUCGUAGGUGGUUCGGUAAGUCGGGUGUGAAACCUCCAGGCUCAACCUGGAGACGCCACCCGAUACUGCUGUGACUGGAGUCCGGUAGGGGAGCGUGGAAUUCCUGGUGUAGCGGUGAAAUGCGCAGAUAUCAGGAGGAACACCAGCGGCGAAGGCGGUUCUCUGGGACGGUACUGACGCUGAGACGCGAAAGCGUGGGGAGCAAACAGG